GACGUAGGGCGCGAGCGUUGUCCGGAUUUAUUGGGCGUAAAGAGCUCGUAGGCGGCUUGUCGCGUCGUCCGUGAAAACCUGCGGCUCAACUGCAGGCUGGCGGUCGAUACGGGCAGGCUGGAGUUCGGUAGGGGAGACUGGAAUUCCUGGUGUAGCGGUGAAAUGCGCAGAUAUCAGGAAGAACACCCGUGGCUAAGGCGGCUCUCUAGUACGGUACUGACGCUGAGACGCGAAAGCGUGGGGAGCGAACAGG
rnacentral:rRNA from 1 species